rnacentral:rRNA from 1 species
UGGGGAAUAUUGCACAAUGGAGGGAACUCUGAUGCAGCGACGCCGCGUGAACGAAGAAGGCUUUCGAGUCGUAAAGUUCUUUUAUAUGGGACGAUAAUGACGGUACCAUAAGAAAAAGCCCCGGCUAACUACGUGCCAGCAGCCGCGGUAAUACGUAGGGGGCUAGCGUUGUCCGGAAUCACUGGGCGUAAAGGGUUCGCAGGCGGAAAUGCAAGUCAGGUGUAAAAGGCAGUAGCUUAACUACUGUAAGCAUUUGAAACUGCAUAUCUUGAGAAGAGUAGAGGUAAGUGGAAUUUUUAGUGUAGCGGUGAAAUGCGUAGAUAUUAAAAAGAAUACCGGUGGCGAAGGCGACUUACUGGGCUCAUUCUGACGCUGAGGAACGAAAGCGUGGGUAGCAAACAGG